rnacentral:sRNA from 1 species
UAUCCCUAAAAACACUAUAUUCAAUCGUGAAAUCAAUAAUCAAUAAUAUCCAAAUCAUAUAUUACGAUUCUUCAUUAAUCACUAGAAAUUUAUAUUUAUAAGUUUAAGAUAUCAAGUUUAUUCAAAUAUUUAGUAUAAGAACCAAAUAAACCGAUUGUCCGCGGUAAACCACAGGUUAAAUCCUAGUUGUUUUUAAACUUAAUAACUGUUUUCUACUUGUAAUUCGUUUAGAAAGAUUAUUGAUUAU